rnacentral:lncRNA from 1 species
CCUUAGAUUAUGUUAGGAACCUAAACCAAACAAACAACUAUACACGGUCCACAAAAAUGAAGAACUGAUAUUGAUCUCGAAUUAAGUGACACAACGGAAAAUGAGCUUCCAAAUCUAUGAACUCUGAUUUAUUGAAUGACUCCAAAGUAAAAUUGGGAAAGCUCCAAGGCGUUCGAGAGGCCUGGACUCUCCCAAUGACAUCAACAAAAAGAACGUGAAUACCCAUCAACCCCGCUUCCCCAAUACAUUUAUUCCCCCCUUUUUACAACUGACUCUUUCCCAAAAUACCCCUAUACUAACUAAUUGGACUGAAUUGGUUGCUGCUUCUUUGGUCUCGUGCUCUUUCCCUGUCUCGCAUAAGUGAGCUGUAUCGGGGGUCUAUCAUUUCUCCCCCUCCCGAAAUCUACCUUGUCCUCAAGGUGGAAAUCUGAGAAUUGCUACCGAAUCAUCUCCACCGGUUCCCAAGUCGCUUUAAAAGCCGGUAAGUUUCUCCAUUUGAUCAAGAUUUCCUUUUCUGUGCUAGAAUCCCUAGGUCUGACUUGCAGCACAGAUUCUGGUUCCACUGGCAACUGACCUCCUGCAAUAAAUUGUGGCGGGAGCUAGGAAGUAGGUUGAGCAGCCCCAAUUGCCCUACGGAGUUGUGACACAUGAAACACAGGGUGUAUCGCAACCUCAGGUGGAAGCUUCAAUUUAUAAGCCACCUGUCCAACCGUGCCACCACUUCAAACGGUCCAAAAUACCGUGGGAACAACUUUUCAACCUGACGGUGGACCACAGAUUUCUUUGUGUAGGGACGAAGCUUGAGGUACUCCAACUCUCCUACUUCAAACUGAACAUCUCGGCACUGCCCAUCCACUCUUUGUUUCAUCACGUGCUGAGCCUGUGUGAGCCGCAAUUUCAGCUCUUGAAGUACCUCAUCUCUGACCAAUAAUGACUGCUCCACUGAAGACAGAAUUGUAGCCCCUCUUUCGAAUGGUAGUACUGGGGGUGGGGCACGCCCGUACACAAUCUGAAAAGGGAUGUGUUUAAUUACUGUGUGAAAUGAAAUUUUAUACCAGUAUUCGGCCAACGGCAACCACUGGUUCCAAGUAUGAGGUCGACUGUGGGAAAAGCACCGCAAAUAAGUCUCUAAGCAGCGGCUUACAACUUCAGUUUGCCCAUCCGUCUGUGGGUGAUAGGCCGUACCGUGUUUCAGUUUUGUUCCUUGGGCUUUGAAAAGUGCAGUCCAGAACUUACUCAUAAAAACACGGUCUCGAUCAAACACAAUGGAUUGCGGUACCCCAUGCAAGCGGACCACUUCUCUGAUAAAUAUAUCCGCUACCCCUUGCACUGUGAAUGGAUGUUUUAACCCAAUAAAGUGCCCAUAUUUACUCAAACAGUCCACAACCACCAAUAUUGUGUCCAUCCCACCUGAUCUUGGCAACCCUUCUAUGAAAUCCAAGGAAAUAUCAGCCCAAAUGAAAUCUGGAAUGGGUAAUGGCUGUAACAAUCCACUAAGUGAUAAGGCCUCAUACUUGUUUUGCCGGUAGGUGGCACAAUGUGCCACAAAAUCCUGUACAUCCUUCUUCAUUCCCAGCCAGUACACCUCUCUAGCCAAUCUUUUGUAAGUCUUCAAGACUCCCGAAUGCCCCCCACCUUUUUAUCGUGACACUCAUUCAACAUUACUGCCACCCACGGUGAGUGUUUAGGCAAGACCACCCUCCCUUUGUAAUACAGGAUACCAUCAUCUAGUGUGUACCCCGGCUUAACCAACUGACCAGACUGUAUUCCAGUGAUUACUCCACCUAAUUUGAUAUCUAUCAUUACUUCCUUCUUCACUUCUUCAAGGUGUAAAACUCGAGGGAUUGAUAGAGUUAAAAAAUUCAGGGAUGGCUCAACUCGGGAGAGGGCGUUUGCCGCUCUAUGCUCCAGGCCCGGGUGAUACUAAAUCUCAAAAUUGUACCCCAUUAGUUUGGACAUCCACUUCUAGUGUUCAUCGCUCACUAUGUGCUGUUCAAGAAGAUACUUUAAACUCCUCUAAUCAGUCCUUACCACAAAUCGCCGUCCCAUUAGAUAGUGUCUCCAUUUCUGGAUGGCGAACAUAAUAGCCAUCAACUCCCGCUCAUACACUAAUUUAUUUCUAGCAUUCUGGGGUAAAACCUGACUGAAGUAAGCAAUGGGGUGCUGACUUUGCAUCAACACUGCUCCUAAUCGAUGUCCCGAAGCAUCGGUCUCCACUACAAAUGCCUUGGAGAAAUCGGGUAAAGCAAGUACUGG